GGAAUUGCUAGUAAUGGCAGGUCAGCAUACUGCCGUGAAUACGUUCCCGGGCCCUUGUACACACCGCCCGUCACACCAUGAGAGUUGGAAAUACCCGAAGCCUGUGAGCUAACUUAAAGAGGCAGCAGUCGAAGGUAGAGCCAAUGAUUGGGGUGAAGUCGUAACAAGGUACC
rnacentral:rRNA from 1 species